rnacentral:rRNA from 1 species
UACGGAGGGUGCAAGCGUUAUCCGGAUUCACUGGGUUUAAAGGGUGCGUAGGUGGGUUGGUAAGUCAGUGGUGAAAUCUCCGAGUUUAACUUGGAAACUGCCGUUGAUACUAUCAAUCUUGAAUAUCGCGUAGGUAAGCGGAAUAUGUCAUGUAGCGGUGAAAUGCUUAGAUAUGACAUAGAACACCAAUUGCGAAGGCAGCUUACUUCACGAUCAUUGACACUGAGGCACGAAAGCGUGGGGAGCAAACAGG